GGUUCUUCUCAUUCCCAGGCCUCUGAUCUAUACACUAGGCCAUGCGUGGUACUACCCUCAAGUAACUUACAAUCCAAAUGUAGUUUAUUAUUUUUCCAAUUUUGAAAAGUUCUCCAAAGAUAUUAUUGUUUUCUAUGAUAUUUGUUAAGCACCUACUAUGAGUCAAACACCGUUCUGAGCGCUGGGGUAGGUACAAGUUAAGUAGGUUGGAUACAGUCCCUGUCCCGCAAGGGGCUCACAGUCUAAAUAAGAGGGAGGACAGGUAUUUUGUCCCAUUUUACAGUUGAGGAAACGGAGGCACAGAGAAGUUAAGCGACUUGCCCAAGGUCACACAGCAAGAAGUUGUCAGAGCUGGGAUUAGAACCCAGGUCCUCCGACACCCAGGCCCCAUAGUCUUUCCACGAGGCCAAGCUCCUUUUCGAGAAGCAGCGGUGCAAGAGGGAAUGUGUUGUCCCCCCAAAAGACUUUUGCUUAUGACAUUCUCCCAACCUGAAAUGUUCUACCUCUUGACCAAGCUUGGCCCAUUUCAACUUCAAAACCAUGCUACCCUUUACUUCCGUAUACCUUGGGUCAUAGUAUGUUUUUGUUAUUUCUGUUUAUAAUCUAUCUUUUAUUUGCUUGUAUGUCAUUUGGGCUUUAUUUUCCUUUUAUAAUAUCUUUGCCCCAUGGACUCUGUCUUGAAUUUUCUGUUAAUUCCCCUCAGCCCAUAGUUCAGUGUUCAGAUUCCAGUGCAUGCUCUAUAAAUAUCGACGUUUCAGUGUUUACCGUAUAUCCUAGUAACUACGCGAUACCUUUGUAUUGUAGGGGUUAAAAGAAGGAGCGGCAGAAAUGUGGAAUCAAAAUGCAGGAAUACCACCACAGAGGCCACAGGUCUGCCCCAUCGCACCGAUUCCUGGAACAAACAUGUAUCCCACUGGGCCCAACGGGCAGCCGUACCCUACUCAGGGUUACCCUGGGUCCGUUCCUUACCCACCUGGUGGUUACCCCGGCAACCUGCCGGGAGGGUAUCCUGGUGACGGUGGGCACCCCCCCCACGGAUAUCACCCUCAAGGGCAACCCCCAUGUGGACCCAUGCCACCUGGGCAGCCGGGAAUGAUGCCCGGAGGCCCCGGUUAUCUACCUCAGCAGCCUGGUUGCUGCUCUGGAAAAAAGCAGAAACACUGUAAAAAAAGCUCUGGCCAUCACUGUCACAAGGUAAGUACCGGACUUGGAUGUACUAGGGUUCUGAUUGAGAAAGCAACUCUUAUUACAGUUUAAUUCAGAACAGUUACUCUCUUCCCCUUCAAAGCCUUAAUGAAAGCCCACCUCCUCCAAGAUGCCUUCCUGACUAAGCCCUCUUCUCCUCUUUCUCUUUCUUCUGCGUCGCCCUGACUUGCUCCCUUUGUUCAUCCCCCCUCCCAGCCCCACAGCACUUAUGUACAUAUCUGUCACGUAUUUAUUUAUUUAUAUUACUGUCUCUCUCCCCCCUGUAGAUUGUAAGCUCGUUGCGGUCAGGGAAUACGUCUGGUUAUUCUUACAUUCUACUCUCCCGAGCACUUAGGACAGUGCUCCGCACACAGUAAACGCUCGUUUGAACAGUAAGGAGCUUGUUAUGGGCAGGGAUUAUGCCUACCGACGCUGUUGUAUCGUUCUCUCUCAAGCGCUUCGCACAGUGCUCUGAACACAGUAAGCAUUCAAGUUUACCACGGAUCGACUUACGUGUAUUCGGCGUAGCUAGCGCAGAUGGGAGGGCGUCCUCUUCAGACCUCCUGGUUGACCUGGAACCACUCAAAUUGACAGCCGGUUCCCGGGGAUUCCAGUGAUUCUGUGCCCCCUCCUCACCUAACCCAUCCACUUGAAGACAACGGCCAAGCAGACCAUCGGUAGAUGGAGAGGCCUAGUAAUUUGGGUGAAUGGAGGGCUAAAUUGGUUGGGGUGAAGAGUCGCUCUUGCCACUUCUCUCUCUCUCUCUUGAUGGCAUUUAUUAAAUGCUUACUAUGUGUCGAGUACUGUUCUGUGUACUGUGGUAGAUCCAAGAUAGUCGGGUCGAACCCGGUCCCUGUCUCAUGUGGGCCUCACGGUCUAACACAGAGGGGAGGAGGAUUUAAUCCCCAUUUUAAAGAAGAGAUUACUGAACCCCAGAGAAGUAAGUUUACUUGUUCAAAGACUCCCAACAGACUUCUCCUUGUCCUUCCUCUUAGCUCGAGAGAGAGGCCUCUCGGGGUUGAGUCCUGCUUGUCUUUUGUUUGGGUCUUUGCUACAACCAGGAAGACAGCAUAUGCAGCUCCCUAGGCUGAAAUUUCCUUUCAGUUCAGGUGACCUGAUGACCAUGCCUUUUUCUAACAAGCCUAGAGUUUAAUAUUUGCUCAAGUGUCAGAGCAAGUGGCCUUUUUUAUGGUAGUUGUUAAGCACUUAGUAUGUGCCAGGCCUGUUCUGAGAGCUGGAGUAGACGCAAGCUAAUUAGGUUGGACACACACCAUGUCCCACAUGGGGCUCAAAGUCUUAAUCUCCAUACUAUAGAUAAGGUAACUGAGGCACAGAGAAAUUAAGUGACUUGCUCGAGGUCACAAAGCAGACGUGUUGGAGCCGGGAUUAGAACCCAGGUCCUUCUGACUCCCAGGCCAGCGCUCUAUCCAUUAGUCCACGCUGACUGCCAACUGAAAUGGACGUACCACAAAUGCAUAACCGUCACCUCCAAUUAGCUGAUUCAGGAAUGAAACUCUGAAGUAGAAAAGAGCCCCUGGAACGUGGCUCAUUUUUUCUUCCUAAACACAGACCCGGAAGCACAGUGACGCUCAUUUGGAAUCCGUCUCUUUCAGCAACGUCGAGAUUCAAGCAGUUCAGAUUCGGACUGAGGAACGGAUGGACAGUGCAACCUGGAAAGAAACUCUUUGGGAGUGAUCAAAACAUAAGAAAAUCAAAGCUCAAGAAUUGUAAUUAGCCCUGCUUCCCUUUCCCCUACCCCUAGCCUUUAGUCUGCACUGGCCUUUUCUAUUUCUGCAAAAUUAUUUCUUUUUUAUGAAGGAAAGGGCAAUGAUUGUCGUGAUAGUUGAAUUUUAAUAGCAUACACCUGAAAAACAGUACAGAUUAAUUUGAUCAUAGUACAUGGACUAAUUAUUAGUAUACUGCCACAUUGUGCUUGUACCCCAGAACGGCUGGAUGCUCGGGAAAUGAUUAAAACGUUUCAUGUUAUAUCUCGAUGGACUCAUAGCUCGGCGAGAGACUUGCCUGGUUCAUUAAAUUCGUCCCGAGUUUCCUCUUCAGGGAUGCAAAAGGCUAUUCCUAGAUCUGCCGUGGUUCCCGGAUUAUCCCUGUGCCAGCGGCUUCCAUUCUAAGCCUCGGUCUCUUUGUUUGGAACAUGAAGAAAAUGAUUGACCUACUCUUAAAGCUUGUAGAAAAGAAAAUUAAAACUAGGAUGAAGCUCUUGUCCAAACCUUAAAAAUAUCUUCUUUUUUUUCCAGAAGGUGCAGGUCUAAUUGGUCUGUCCCAACAGCAACUAUUUUAAUUCAAGUUUUAGCCCUUGAAAAAGAAGUUCCUAUGCUCCCUUUUCAUUACAGCAUCUCCCAGGGGCCUCUUCUAUCUAGAAUUAACAUAUCCUGGGCAGAAAUGCUGCCUCAAAGGAACUUUUCUUAAGACUUGUGUUCUGAAUUCUCCUCCUUACAAGUGUCACAGAGUCAUUAGAGGUCCCAAUAAGGAAACCCAGAGAAAAAACUCAUAAAGCCACAAAAAUAUCAGUUGACAAUAGCGUAGGCAUCUUCCAUGAAUAUGCUUAAAAUGUGAUAAACCACACUAUAAUCUGGGAAGGGAAAAAAAAGUUUAUUUAUCAAAUAGCACACUUAUUUCAAGGAAAAACAAUACCAAGAUUAUCCAAAAUUACAAUUUGUUACGAUAGCCUCACACCCACGGAGGCGCUUAGAAUUUACAUGGCUCUGAACACAACCAGCGGGAUCUGCAAAACUUGGUACGCCCUAGAUCUUGGAGUGAGGAAGUAUCAGAAGUGUUAAGCAGAUGGAUUCUCAUGAGAAAAGAGUGGUGUUAGCCAAGGGAAGCAAAGAAAAAGCAAACAAUGCAGGGAGUGGGAUACUGAGGGAGAACAGAGCCAGGCUCUGGUGGAGGAUGCAGGAUAUUUCUACAGGGAGAGGCUUCGAGGUGUUUUCCCAGGUUCGUGGGUUAGUAUCCAGAUGGGUCAAUAGCAAGAUUUGGUUGUUUUUUAAAUAUAGGAAUCUACUCCUGACUGGUAGGGAAAGAAUAACUCUGACAGGAGGCUAUGGGAAAAGAGUGAGUUUCCUCAGGGUAUCUGAAACAACAGACAACUAAAUUAUCUUUUUGGGGAGAGGAUGAAGAAGAGAAAAGAAGGAAUUUGCUUUUGGAGCUCCUGGCAAUGCUUAGUCAGCAUUUUGGGGGUUUCGCUCCCUUUUACCUUUGAACCAAGCAUGAGGUUAGCAAAUGCCCACCAACCCCGUUGUUUGGAACCGGGGAAUCCCUAAACUAGGUAGGGGUGGUCACUCUAGGCUCCAUCAGAAAUGAGAAAGGGGAAACAUCUGGGGAGAAAACUGGAUACUGGACAUUUUCACUAAACUGGGAUGCUGAGUUUCUCCUCUCAGCUUGGCAUUCAGCUGAAUGUGUGUGCAUAUCCAUACUCAUUCACACAUCCUCCCACACAUGCACUCACACGGAAAGGAACUGUUGAUUUUUAAGGCAGUAAAGGUUACAUGUAUGGCUCUGAAUCCUUUUCUGUUCUUGUCUUCUAUUAGCACCGUAAAAAAAGGAGUUCAGGACUGGUCGUUAUUGUUCACUGUGGAACAAUUAAAAUCCACAUAUAAUCUGUUCUAGGGGUCUCUAGUAAAAUCCUGCUUCUUAGCCUCAAUCCCAGGCCAAUCCUUGGAGUUUAACCAUUGUACAAGAUCAGAAAAAAAAAAAGCAAUAUCUUUCAGGUGUAUGUGAAUAUCUGUGUUCUGUGGCUAGGGGUUAGGGUUGGGACCUGUGCAU
rnacentral:lncRNA from 1 species